rnacentral:rRNA from 1 species
GGAGAGUGCAAGCGUUAAUCAGAAUUACUGGGCGUAAAGCGCACGUAGGUGGAUAUUUUAGUCGGAUGUGAAAGCCCUGGGCUUAACCUAGGAACUGCAUUCGAUACUGGAUAUCUAGAGUAUGGUAGAGGGAAGUGGAAUUUCCGGUGUAGCGGUGAAAUGCGUAGAUAUCGGAAGGAACAUCAGUGGCGAAGGCGACUUCCUGGACCAAUACUGACACUCAGGUGCGAAAGCGUGGGGGGAGCAAACAGGAUUAGAGACCCUGGUAGUCCACGCCGUCAACGAUGAGAACUAGACGUUGGGAAUUUAUAUUCUUAGUGUCGAAGCUAACGCGUUAAGUUCUCCGCCUGGGAGUACGGCCGCAAGGCUG